AUACGUAGGUGGCAAGCGUUGUCCGGAAUUAUUGGGCGUAAAGAGCAUGUAGGCGGUUUGGUAAGUCGGUCGUGAAAAUGCGGUGCUUAACGCCGUAUGGCGAUUGAAACUGCUGAACUUGAGUGCAGGCGAGGAAAGGGGGACUCCCAGUGUAGCGGUGAAAUGCGUAGAAAAUGGGAAGAACACCGGUGGCGAAGGCGCCUUUCUGGACUGUGUCUGACGCUCAGAUGCGAAAGCCAGGGUAGCGAACGGGAUUAGAUACCCCGGUAGUCCUGGCCGUAAACGAUGGGUACUAGGUGUGGGAGGUAUCGACUCCUUCCGUGCCGGAGUUAACGCAAUAAGUCCCCCGCCUGGGGAGUACGGCCGCAAGGCUUAAACUCAAAGGAAUUGACGGGG
rnacentral:rRNA from 1 species